AUUGAACGCUGGCGGCAGGCCUAACACAUGCAAGUCGAGCGGAGCGGCGGACGGGUGAGUAAGGACUAGGAAUCUGCAUGGCAGUGGGGGAUAACGUCCGGAAAUGGGCGCUAAUCCCGCACACUAUCAGAUGAGCCUUGGUCGGAUUAGCUAGUUGGAGGGGUAAAGGCCUACCAAGGCGACGAUCCGUAGCUGGUCUGAGAGGCUGAUCAGUCACACGGUAACUGAGACACGGUCCAGACUCCUACGGGAGGCAGCAGUGGGGAAUAUUGGACAAUGGGCGAAAGCCUGAGCCAGCCCUGCCGCGUGUGUGAAGAAGGUCUUCGGAUUGUAAAGCACUUUAAGUUGGGAGGCGGUACCAACAGAAUAAGCACCGGCUAACUUCGUGCCAGCCGCCGCGGUAAUAC
rnacentral:rRNA from 1 species